rnacentral:rRNA from 1 species
AACGAACGCUGGCGGCAUGCCUAACACAUGCAAGUCGAACGAAGGCUUCGGCCUUAGUGGCGCACGGGUGCGUAACGCGUGGGAAUCUGCCCUUUGGUUCGGAAUAACAGCUGGAAACGGCUGCUAAUACCGGAUGAUGACGAAAGUCCAAAGAUUUAUCGCCAGAGGAUGAGCCCGCGUUGGAUUAGGUAGUUGGUGGGGUAAAGGCCUACCAAGCCGACGAUCCAUAGCUGGUCUGAGAGGAUGAUCAGCCACACUGGGACUGAGACACGGCCCAGACUCCUACGGGAGGCAGCAGUGGGGAAUAUUGGAAAAUGGGCGCAAGCCUGAUCCAGCAAUGCCGCGUGAGUGAUGAAGGCCCUAGGGUUGUAAAGCUCUUUUAACCGGGAAGAUAAUGACUGUACCGGGAGAAUAAGCCCCGGCUAACUCCGUG